AUCAUCGAAGUCAAGCAUCAUUGGGCGCGGUCAGUACUUGGGUGGGUGACCACCUGGGAACACCGCGUGCCGUU